AACGAACGCUGGCGGCAGGUCUAACACAUGCAAGUCGAGCGCUCUCUUCGGAGGGAGCGGCGGACGGGUUAGUAACGCGUGGGAACGUACCCUUUUCUACGGAAUAGCCUCGGGAAACUGAGAGUGAUACCGUAUAAGCCCUUCGGGGAAAGAUUUAUCGGGAAAGGAUCGGCCCGCGUUAGAUUAGAUAGUUGGUGGGGUAAUGGCCUACCAAGUCUACGAUCUAUAGCUGGUUUUAGAGGAUGAUCAGCAACACUGGGACUGAGACACGGCCCAG
rnacentral:rRNA from 1 species